rnacentral:rRNA from 1 species
AUUGGAGGGCAAGUCUGGUGCCAGCAGCCGCGGUAAUUCCAGCUCCAAUAGCGUAUAUUAAAGUUGUUGCGGUUAAAAAGCUCGUAGUUUGAGUUGAGUUGCGGACUGGUGUGGGAGGUCACCGCCCGGUGCUUGCCCGCCAGGUUCCGAACAGCUUCCGUGAGUGGAAGCCAAGCCGGUUCUGCCGGGGUGCUCUUUACCGAGUGUCCCGUGCGGCCGGCCAGUUGACCUUGAAUAAAUGAGAGUGCUCAAAGCAGGCUACUCUGGAAUACAAUGCCCGAAUGUUAGCUGCAUGGAAUGAUGGAAGAUGAUCUCGGUUGCAUUUUGUUGGUGGUGGCAGCCAGAGGUAAUGAUAAAGAGGGACUGUCGGGGGCAUCCGUACUACGACGCGAGAGGUGAAAUUCAGUGACCGUCGUAGGACGAACAACAGCGAAAGCAUUUGCCAAGAAUGUCUUCGUUGAUCAAGAACGAAAGUUAGAGGAUCGAAGGCGAUCAGAUACCGCCCUAGUUCUAACCCUAAACGAUGCUGACUAGCAAUUCGCCGUCGUUAUUCCCAUGACGUGGCGAGACGCCCCCGGGAAACCUCAAGUCUUUGAGUUCCGGGGGUAGUAUGGUUGCAAAAGUGAAACUUAAAGGAAUUGACGGAAGGGCACCACCAGGAGUGGAGCCUGCGGCUUAAUUUGACUCAACACGGGGAAGCUGACCAGGCCCGGACACCAGAAGGAUUGACAGAUUAAGAGCUCUUUCUCGAUUU